UAAGUUUCACAAUUAAAUUAAAUUUUAAAAAAUUUAGAAAUCACUUCAAACAAUUUUUUAAUGAGAAAUACAUAAAAAAUAGGGCCGAAUAUUCUCAAAUUAGUCUAAAGAAAACAACAAAAUUUGCAGCCCGGUGGACUCGAACAUGGCGGGUUUGCGAAUCCAUCAGUGGCAAGUGAAUUUUGGUGCUGCAAAUUCUUUCCGGCACGCAAGAAGCCGAUCAUAUUUUUAAUUUUUAUUACCGCCUUAUGGUAAUUAAGAAACACAAAAUUGGCAUACAACUUUGCGGUCAAGUAACCUGGGGGACGCCUACCCCGUUUUAUGGCAAUUCAGAUACACAAAAUUGGCAUACAACUUUUGGGUCAAAUAACCUGAGGGACGCCUCUCCCCAAAACCCAUCCAAACGAAGAUCUUUGCCGAUUGGGACAAUAUGGAUAUGAAAUGAAAGGAACGAGGGAUGAUCAAGCAAGCUAUCUUGAAAUGAAUGAAUUUGAACGAACUUUUUGUUUCCCUUCGAGUUUGUUCGUUCAUCCAACCCGGUGCAUGUGCACUCAAAAUAACAACACAACAUUUGCUAGUUUUUCUGUCUUCUUUGUUUAAAAUGGACAAAAAAAAGUGUGGCUGAACUGUUGAAAGUGAAAAACACACACGGUCUGGCCAACAUAAAGAUCGGAGUUUUGUGUGGAGCGUUUUGGCCGACAUAAGCCGUGUUUUAUUUACCCAAUAAAAUAGUUUUCUCGCUUAGUUUCUAUGGAGAAAAAAGCUAGCCGUUUAUUAAAUCAUAUGGUGUCAACAUUCAAUCUAUCAACAUUCAAUCAAUCAAGAAUGCAACAUAUUUAUUCAAUGAUUAAACGUUCUGGAAUGCAAAAAUUGCUUAGGAAUUUAAUAAAAUCACAUUUAUGAAAAACUA